AAAGGGAGAAGAGAGGUUGAACCAUGGGGAAGGGGGAAGAGGAAGGCAGCCGCUAAGCCACCCACUAGGAAGCGGAUGGACAAGCUCGAUAUGGUCUUUUCCUGCCCAUUCUGCAAUGAUAGGAGCAGCGUUGAAUGCCGGAUUGAUAUGGAAACCUGAUUGGUGAGGCUAAUUGUGAAAUCUGACAGGAAAGCUUCAGCAGCCAGCACCACUGCAAAUGGCGGCUUCGGCGAGUCGGAUGGACAACGGCGGCGGCUGAGCUUCUCCAUGGCCUGCUGCAGUUCCUAGGAGAGAGAGCUUCGAAGGUGAGGAGAUAUAGAAGAACAGAAGGGAGAGGAGGAAGGGCAGGGGCGUGGCGGCCUUGACGGUGAACCUCGGGUUGCGACGGUCUCCGGCGAGAGGCGGCGUGGGGUGGCGGCGCGAGCCUACGGAGCGGCGGCGGCUUGGAGCUGCGGGAGCUCGGGCGUUUGGAUGCGUUUGGAUCGCAGGCCUAAGGUUAUGCAUAUUGGGUAUGUUUUGAUCGCUAUCAAACCUGUCCAUACAAAAUAUUGCCAUGAUUUAUCCUGCUGUUGGCUAGAUCUGAAGUACUCCCUCCGUUCACAAAUAUAAGAUGUUCUAACUUUUUUGUGAAUCGGAUGUAUGUACGCAUAUGGGAUAUUUAUUAUAGAAGAA